UCAAGUGGAUGAACAGCUAAAUUCGCGCCCUCCUGGCGCAACGCUGUGUUCUGACCAACGUCCUGUUGA
rnacentral:sRNA from 1 species